UACAGAGGGUGCAAGCGUUAAUCGGAUUUACUGGGCGUAAAGCGUGCGUAGGUGGUCUGUUAAGUCAGGCGUGAAAUCCCCGGGCUCAACCUGGGAACUGCGUCUGAUACUGGCAGACUCGAGUGUGGUAGAGGGUAGUGGAAUUCCGCAUGUAGCGGUGAAAUGCGUAGAGAUGCGGAGGAACAUCAGUGGCGAAGGCGGCUACCUGGACCAACACUGACACUGAGGCACGAAAGCGUGGGUAG
rnacentral:rRNA from 1 species